rnacentral:rRNA from 8 species
CCUGAGACUUAGAGUCUCCUGAAGGAACGUUGAAGACGACGACGUUGAUAGGCCGGGUGUGUAAGCGCAGCGAUGCGUUGAGCUAACCGGUACUAAUGAACCGUGAGGCUUAACCUUACAACGCCGAAG